GUGCUCGCUUCAGCAGCACAUAUACUAAAAUUGGAACGAUACAGAGAUUAGUAUGGCCCCUGUGCAAGGAUGACACACAAAUUUGUAAUGUGUUCCCUAUUUUU
rnacentral:snRNA from 1 species